rnacentral:sRNA from 1 species
GCAUGCCCCUUGUAUUUAUUGAAGCCUGGUUUAUGUUGUGUCCCCGCUGUUUCCAGUCACACGGCUAAACGCCAUCCAGUACGUGCAUGGCUAUUAGAACACAACAUUAAGUCUCCAUGAGGGAGGUGAUGCACGUAAGCGUCGUUGUUUUGUCUUUCGAGGCUGGUGCUACAAUGCAAGGUAAUGAAUUUUGAGUCUAGGGGAUAGGGAUCGAUGGAGCGGACUGGUGGUUCUGGGAGCUAGAAACAUUCUAGAAUGCUAGCUGACGUUCACGGACAUCAUUCACGAUUCAUUGAACUUACCUGACGAAGACAAUUUCCAUAAUGUAUCUAGAUAUUGGCUGGUCGGUGACUUUUACCCGCUGACCGAUUUUUUGUUCAAUCAGAUAUCUAGGCGCCUCUAAAUAUAGAGGAAGAGCGGCAGGAGCAAAUUAGAUGCAUGGAACCUUUCUCGAAUCAAGGUUAGGACACUUGUAAACCACGGUUGGGCCAUGUAGGGAAUAAGGUAGAUGGGGAUUCACGGCGGGGAGUUGCAGAUCCAUGCAUGGAGGCUUGCAUUGAUUUUAUGAUGAUAUUAUAGCUGAAUUCGGUCUACAAACUAUUUCUUGAUGAUGCGGCGUGUAAAUAAUAAUAAUAAUAAUAAUAAUAAUAAUAAA